rnacentral:rRNA from 1 species
ACAGCAGUCGCCACGGUAAUACGUAGGGUGCAAGCGUUAUCCGGAUUUAUUGGGUUUAAAGGGUCCGUAGGCGGAUCUGUAAGUCAGUGGUGAAAUCUCACAGCUUAACUGUGAAACUGCCAUUGAUACUGCAGGUCUUGAGUAAAUUUGAAGUGGCUGGAAUAAGUAGUGUAGCGGUGAAAUGCAUAGAUAUUACUUAGAACACCAAUUGCGAAGGCAGGUCACUAAGAUUUAACUGACGCUGAUGGACGAAAGCGUGGGGAGCGAACAGGAUUAGAUACCCCGGUAGUCCCUGUCUCUUAUAC